AAGAAGAAGAAGAAAAGAAAAGAGAACUCCAUCACCUGGCUGCUAAGUGCCUUUCUAGUCUUCUUACCACUCCAAGUGCUGUUGGAGGCUGUUCCGAUGGAACAGCCGUUGGGGGAAGUCGGGGUUCAGUUACUUGCCCAAGGACUUCGACAUGGAGCCUGGAGGAGCCGGGGAUUGACUGAUUUUCUGAUUAGUGGGCAACCCGCUCUAUCACCGGAGCCAUAGCCGCUCCCAACAAAUGUGCCACAUGAAAGACAGGACCAAGAAGCUGUCCUCAGACCCUGGGAACAGUGGGAAGUAUGGACGUAUGGAUGCCUGUCCCUGUGGUUAACCUUCCACCCACAUGUUAGGAGGAGGCUACAGGGAGAGGUCUGUUGCUUUGCCUGGCUCUAAGUGGAGGUGACAGCAUUCAAACAUGGUGACCUUGCGUAGGGGACCCGUGACGGGCCUCCCUGUGACUGAAGGAACAUUUCUGGAGGCACCCUGCAAGGCUUUUUGGUUUGGGAGAGACAUCAAGGGAACCUGCAUGGUGGCAAUAAGAGAGGUGUUUUUAUUUUUAUUUUUUUCACGAUGCCAACAGCAUCACUUCAACAAACUCCCUUUGAUAGACAUAGGUGAAAACUGGCUUGUAAAGGAAGUGAAUAUUGAUAUGAUGAAAAAUAUUUCAUCCUGAAAGUGUACAGUGUAUUGAUUUUGGAAAGUUGUACUGCAUAAAAGUAA